AAAAUGCGAUAAGUAAUGUGAAUUGCAGAAUUCAGUGAAUCAUCGAAUCUUUGAACACACAUUGCGCCCGCCAGUAUUCUGGCGGGCAUGCCUGUUCGAGCGUCAUUUCAACCCUCAAGCCCCCGGGUUUGGUAUUGGGGAUCGGGCUGCGGUUCUACCGCGUCCCGGCCCCGAAAUCUAGUGGCGGUCUCGCUGCAGCCUCCAUUGCGUAGUAGCUAACACCUCGCAACUGGAACGCGGCGCGGCCAAGCCGUUAAACCCCCAACUUCUGAAUGUUGACCUCGGAUCAGGUAGGAAUACCCGCUGAACUUAAGC
rnacentral:misc_RNA from 1 species